rnacentral:rRNA from 1 species
AGUGGCGGACGGGUGAGUAACGCGUGAGAAUCUGCCUUGGGGUCGGGGACAACCACUGGAAACGGUGGCUAAUACCGGAUAAGCCGAUUGGUGAAAGAUUUAUUGCCCGAAGAGGAGCUCGCGUCUGAUUAGCUAGUUGGUGAGGUAAGAGCUCACCAAGGCAGCGAUCAGUAGCUGGUCUGAGAGGACGAUCAGCCACACUGGGACUGAGACACGGCCCAGACUCCUACGGGAGGCAGCAGUGGGGAAUUUUCCGCAAUGGGCGAAAGCCUGACGGAGCAAGACCGCGUGAGGGAGGAAGGCUCUUGGGUUGUAAACCUCUUUUCUCAGGGAAGAAGCUCUGACGGUACCUGAGGAAUCAGCCUCGGCUAACUCCGUGCCAGCAGCCGCGGUAAUACGGAGGAGGCAAGCGUUAUCCGGAAUUAUUGGGCGUAAAGCGUCCGCAGGUGGCGAUUCAAGUCUGCUGUCAAAGCACGGGGCUUAACUCCGUAAAGGCAGUGGAAACUGAAUAGCUAGAGUGCCGUAGGGGUAGAGGGUGUUCCCGGUGUAGCGGUGAAAUGCGUAGAGAUCGGGAAGAACAUCGGUGGCGAAAGCGCUCUACUGGACGGCAACUGACACUCAGGGACGAAAGCUAGGGGAGCGAAUGGGAUUAGAUACCCC